ensembl:lncRNA
UCAUCUUACUCUCUCUUUUUAUUCAGUUUUAAUUUCUUUUUGGUGUGUGUCUGUGUGCCUGUGAUGUGUAUGUUGGGCCUGUAUGCAUACAUAGCAAAUGUGUAAAGAAGGUCAAAGGAAAACUUCAUGGAGUCACUUUUCUUCUAUCUUUAUGUGGGUUUGGGGGAUCAAACUUGGGUGGUUGGACUUGUAUUGCAGUGUUUUUACCUGCUAACUGGCCUUAUAGCUCUCUCUCUCUCUCUCUCUCUCUCUCUCUCUCUCUCUCUCUCUGUGUGUGUGUGUGUGUGUGUGUGUGUGUGUGUGUGUGUUGAUUUUUUUAAAGACAGGAUAUCACAUAGCUCAGGCUAGCCUUGAGCUCACUAUAUAGCUGAAGAUGACCUUGAACUCCUGAUCCUGCUCCCUCUACUUCCUAAGCACCGGGACUCUGGGCUUGUGCCACCAUGCCCAGUUUAUAUAGUGCAGGGGAUGGAACCCAGUUUUGUGUAUGCUAGAUAAGCUAUCUACCAGCUCAGACACACCCCUAGCCUUUAAUGUGGUUGUUUGUUAUUAAUUUUUAAAAAAGAAAAAGCAAAACUAUUUUUUGAGACAGAGUACUGUGUUUGAUAACUCAACUCCACAUAGCUGAGGACUUUUCACUCACUUUUAAUUUUGCCUCCACCUUAAGAAUGUUGUGAUUAGAAAUUUGUGCCAUCACCCUGGUUGGUGUAGGACUGGGAAUCAAACCAGGGACUCCUGCCUGCUGGAAUAUAAACACGCACAGAGCUGCGGCACCAGAUGAAGCCCCUCCUUUGUAGUGAGCCCAUCAGUCUCUGACAGGAGCUUGUCACUCAUCAGUACCAUCCUCCCAAAAGACUGACAGCUGGGAAGCCUAUAUGAAACUGAACUAGGCCCUCUGAAUGGAAGGUCACAGCAGCUUACAGCAUCACAGCCAGGAAUCAGAGAGCAAGACAGGAAAUGAGUAGGUAACAACCACUCCCAAGAUCUGUACCUAGUGACCUCCUUCCUUCUGCUCAGCCAGCCCCCAUAACCAUUCUGACUGGAGUGAAGGGGUCUCUAAGAGAGACACUAUGCCCCUUCCUUUGGCAAUCAGACUAUUAAAACGAUGGUCUCCUAGAAAUUUGAAUUUCCCAGGAGUCUCUUGUUGGGUGAGAAAAAUGAAGCUGGUGACAGCCAGAGGGACAGCUUGUCUCCCAGGAAGAGAUGUCAUCCAGUUCUGACAACCUGCAGCACAGACUGGAGCCGAAAACCGAUGAACUAAGAAGUCAAUGUGACCAGCUGCUUCAUGCUCCUGCCACCAUGCCUUCCCCAGCAUGAUGAACUAUACCCUCAAACUGUGAGCCAGAGCCAACCAUUUCUUCCUCAUGUUGCUGUCAUCAGAUAAUGUUGUCACAGCAAGGAGACAAGUAACUGGCACAAACCUCUAGACUCCCUUGUUGAGAUCUUGUUUUCUCAGGUGGUGGCACCAUUUUGGAAGAUUCUGGAAACUUUAUAAGAUGCUUACCUGCCUAUCUGGGGACAUGUGUCAUGGCACCCAUGGAGAUCACAGGAUAGCAUGUUGGAGUCAGUUCUCUUCUCCCAUCUUCACUGGGCUUUCAAGACAUCAUCAUCUGCUGUUCUCUUGCCAUUUUGUGUAUUUUCAACACAGUCAAGGAUCAUUGCUUGCUAAUCUUCACUGGUUGAAAUGUUUCUCAAAUGAAAUUAGCUCUUUGAUUUGAUUUAGUACUUUCUUUUACAUUGUAUUUUGCUUAUUAUUAUAAACAGACUUUCAAAUAAUUCAUACUGUGAAGUAUCCUAUUCAUUUCUGUACUUUAAGAAUGGUGUGGGACAUGCUUGUUUUGAAAUUUCUUACAGAUGGUACAUAGUUGCAUGUCUAUCUUCAACCUAGUUUUAAUUUUUAUUAUUUUAUGUGUAUGGGUCUUUUGCCAACAUGCAAGUCUGUGUAUCAUGUUUGUGUCUGGUUCUCAUGGAGGCAAAAAAAAAAAAAAAAAAGCAUUGGGACCAUUGGUAGUGGAGUUAAGGUUGUGAGCCACCACAUGGGUGCUGGAAAUCAAACCCAGGUCCUCUUCAAGAGCAGCCAGUGCUCUUAACCGAUGAGCCAUUUCUUCAGCCCCUUCAACUCAGUUUUUUGUAAUAACAAUUAAUGUAAGAGACUAUGAAUUUGAAAGAGAGCAAGAAGUGGUAUAUGGGAAAUGAUGUAAUUAUAAUCUCAAAAAUA